rnacentral:rRNA from 1 species
UACGUAGGGUGCAAGCGUUGUCCGGAAUUAUUGGGCGUAAAGAGCUCGUAGGUGGUUUGUCGCGUUGUUCGUGAAAAACUCACAGCUUAACUGUGGGCGUGCGGGCGAUACGGGCAGACUUGAGUACUGCAGGGGAGACUGGAAUUCCUGGUGUAGCGGUGGAAUGCGCAGAUAUCAGGAGGAACACCGGUGGCGAAGGCGGGUCUCUGGGCAGUAACUGACGCUGAGGAGCGAAAGCGUGGGGAGCGAACAGG